rnacentral:siRNA from 1 species
AGAAGCUGGAAGAAAGACACAAC